rnacentral:rRNA from 1 species
GGCAGCACGGAGCUUGCUCUGGUGGCGAGUGGCGAACGGGUGAGUAAUNUAUCGGAACGUACCCUAGAGUGGGGGAUAACGUAGCGAAAGUUACGCUAAUACCGCAUACGAUCUAAGGAUGAAAGUGGGGGAUCGNNAGACCUCAUGCUCGUGGAGCGGCCGAUNUCUGAUUAGCUAGUUGGUNGGGUAAAAGCCUACCAAGGCAUCGAUCAGUAGCUGGUCUGAGAGGACGACCAGCCACACUGGAACUGAGACACGGUCCAGACUCCUACGGGAGGCAGCAGUGGGGAAUUUUGGACAAUGGGCGAAAGCCUGAUCCAGCAAUGCCGCGUGAGUGAAGAAGGCCUUCGGGUUGUAAAGCUCUUUUGUCAGGGAAGAAACGGUGANAGCUAAUAUCUNUUGCUAAUGACGGUACCUGAAGAAUAAGCACCGGCUAACUACGUGCCAGCAGCCGCGGUAAUACNUAGGGUGCAAGCGUUAAUCGGAAUUACUGGGCGUAAAGCGUGCGCAGGCGGUUUUGUAAGUCUGAUGUGAAAUCCCCGGGCUCAACCUGGGAAUUGCAUUGGAGACUGCAAGGCUAGAAUCUGGCAGAGGGGGGUAGAAUUCCACGUGUAGCAGUGAAAUGCGUAGAUAUGUGGAGGAACACC